GCGUCCAGCGGGAUGCCUUAGUACGGCGAGUGAGCGGCAAAAGCUCAAAUUUGAAAUCUGGUACCUUCGGUGCCCGAGUUGUAAUUUGGAGAGGGCAACUUUGGGGCCGUUCCUUGUCUAUGUUCCUUGGAACAGGACGUCAUAGAGGGUGAGAAUCCCGUGUGGCGAGGAGUGCGGUUCUUUGUAAAGUGCCUUCGAAGAGUCGAGUUGUUUGGGAAUGCAGCUCUAAGUGGGUGGUAAAUUCCAUCUAAAGCUAAAUAUUGGCGAGAGACCGAUAGCGAACAAGUACAGUGAUGGAAAGAUGAAAAGAACUUUGAAAAGAGAGUGAAAAAGUACGUGAAAUUGUUGAAAGGGAAGGGCAUUUGAUCAGACAUGGUGUUUUGUGCCCUCUGCUCCUUGUGGGUAGGGGAAUCUCGCAUUUCACUGGGCCAGCAUCAGUUUUGGUGGCAGGAUAAAUCCAUAGGAAUGUAGCUUGCCUCGGUAAGUAUUAUAGCCUGUGGGAAUACUGCCAGCUGGGACUGAGGACUGCGACGUAAGUCAAGGAUGCUGGCAUAAUGGUUAUAUGCCGCCCGUCUUGAAACCACGGACCA
rnacentral:rRNA from 1 species